AAAGAAAAAUAAUAAUAAUAAAAGAAAAGAGGAAAAAAAGUACAAAGAGAUAUCUAGAACAAUUGGGAAGGAACGCAAAGAAAAGAAAAAGAACCCCAUACCCAAUUCACUCACUCACCUUCUAUCUCCCCUUACCCGUGUUUCCCUUCGUCCCUCCUCUUUACUCGUCCCUCCUCUCCUCCUUGUCACUUUGCUGCACCACCGGCGCCACCAACGUUCUCCCUCCUCCAUCGCUGGCGUUCUUUAAGUUAUGUGUUGCUCGUGUACGUUGUUGUUGCUCCUCUUAUGCCGUCUCCUUGCUCCGCCUUCCUCUCUCGUGUGUUUUCCGUACCGCCGCCACCAACGGUGGUUACGAAUCCACUAUAACAAUCCACCAUUAUCAAUUUGCCCUGCGGCGGUGUGACUAGCUGUUGUUGCAGUUGUUCCUUGAUUUUGGUAAUUGGUGGAGAACGAAUAAGCAGAAUUGAAUUAAGGAUUAAGCGGGGAUUGAUAAUCAAGUCUAUAGUUCUCGGAGUCUAUGUGUUGGUGAUUGAAGGUGCAAUUCUCGUUAAUUAAAUCUAAGGCGGAUCCGAACGUGCUGUGGACUAUCUACGGAGGGACGACGCUUGGAGUCCUAAACUUGUUCUUGUUCGGUUCGGGAGCAGCUAGGGAAGGCACGCUUCACAUGUAUGUAUCCUAAAUUAUGCUAAUUGUUAUGUGGCAAUUAAUUUAGAUUCUUGGCUUUAUGGUUUUUCCGCAUGAAAUAUAUAUGAUUUAUAUGUAUCAUAACCUAACAGUGGUAUAUGAGCCUCUAAUUAAUUCCAUAAUAAUUAGUUAACAUGGUUAAAUUUUAUAAAUUUGCAAUGAAUUAAAGGAAUGAUUAAUUUUGAUUUUUUGUAAUUAAUUGCAAAUUCGUGCGAUUAUUUAAUUAUAUGUUCGCAGAAUUUUCAGCAGUUUAGUCAAUAAUGGUCGGUAUCGUAUAAUUUUAUAGUGUAUUUCGCAUGUAAACGGCGUUUUAAAAUUUUGACUAAAAUCAACGAUUUGAUGUCGAACCUAGAAUUCCCAAAUUCGAAGCAUAACUAUGACUUUUCGGAGGUUUUAGUUUUUCGAACGCAAAAUUUGUAAUUUUAAGAUGUUAAAUUAAAUAUUUGCGAUUCUUGUUUGUAAAUAUUGAAUUUUUGAUUGACCUACUGUAUAUGUUUAACAAAUUUAAAUGCCUAAGCUUGUUAAUUAUACAACCUAAUUUGUAAUUGUAAUUAAUUUGUUGAAAUUCGAAUAAUUUAGAAUUUGAUUUGUUUUUCAUAAUUAGUUGACAAUUUAAUUAGGUAUACAUGAUUAAAAACCACCAUAAAAAUAAAUUUGAUAAAUUUUUAAAUUUUAUGACCUAGAUUUGAAUCCAUGAUAAUCGGAAAUUAAUUUGAAUAAAAAAAUUUCGAUUUUUCGCCCUAAAUUUAUGAAAUUAAUAUGAUUUAUUAAUUUGUCUAUAAAUUUAAAUUUAAAAGUUUUGAUUUUUAUAUAAUCCGCUCAUGAAUCUUUCACGCACAAAGCAAUGGACGCUACGUGUUACCCUUAAGGGGUUUUGUAUAGUGCGGGCAUGGGACGACGAGCCUGGGAGCUCGUCGCCCAUGCGGUACGGAUGCAGCGAGCAAGACGAGUGGCACGCGAGCACAAGGCAGUAGCCCUGCCUUGCGUCGAGUGCUGCGAUGGCAUGGGUGGAUGGGCGAAUAGGCAAGGCAAGCGAGCAAGGCAGCGAGGGAUGCCUCGCAGCAGCGAGCGUUGCCUCGCCCAGCUAGCGAUGGCUCGCCCACAACGAGCGCUGCCUCGCCAAGUAGGUGUUGCGCUACGAAGCCAGCAAGCAAUGUUGCGCGCAAGCGUGGCUUGGCUUGCUGAGUUUGCGCGUGGCUGCUGCACAUGCCUUGCUAUGCGAUCACUUGUGAGGGGCGAUGCUGCCUCGUGACUCGACGGGGCCUGGCGCAAGCCCAUGGCCUCGUCUUGAUCCGAUUGAUGUGCUUUGAAUUUAAUUUUGAUUUUCAGUUGGAAAAUGAUUUUAAUAAAUUUAAAAUUCGUAAUUUAAUUUUUUCUCGGAAUUUAAUUUUGAAUAUUUUAAUUAUUAUAAAUUUUAUUUAUACUAAUUAUUUUACUAAAACUAAAACCUUGAUUAAAUCUAAAUUAAUUAAUUUAAUAAACUUAAAUAAAUUAAAGGAUUCAAAUAAUAAUUUAUAUGAGCUUUAAAUUUUAAUUAAAUUUGUAUGUUUCCGGUUAGACUAGGAAAUACAAUUUUAUGUUUAAAAUUAGUAAAGCAUGUAAAUUUAUUGGUUUAAGUGGGAGCGUUUUAGUCAUAAACUCUUGAUUAGGUCUACAUUCCUUUAAGAUUAAAACAACUUGAUUAGAAUUAAUAAGGAUUGAAUAAUUGGUAUAUUAUUGGAAGCAAUGUUAUUAGAAUUGCGAUCCGGAUCGUAGGAUCGUACGAUCCUACGAUCCGGAUGUUUCAAAACGAUCCGGAUCGAAGCUUAAAUCGCAAUUACGGCAGGAUCGUAGGUGGGAUCAUUCAAGAUCGUAUAGAAUCGGUGGGAUCGUAUAGAAUCGCGAUCCUACCACCGAUUCUAACGAUCCUGAUUUUUUGCCAUUUAAAUGAAGCCCAACUUUAAAGGUUACUGUGUGAAGCCCUAUUAACAUAAAAAACAAAACCCACGUGCCUCUUACCAGCUUUCUUGAGACUUUUUCGCCCUAGUUUACUGUCUUCUUCUGAUCUUCUCUAUGCGGCUACUUCUCCCCUCUCCUCUACUCGAUUAAAAAACUAAAUUUGAAGCUAGAAUCAAAGUAUCCCCUCUUUCAAUCAAUGAAUCAAAGCAUCUCCAGCACACAAGGUUCAGGAUUUUGGUGAUUGUGAUGAUGUCAAUCUCACGGGAACGGGAACUGGAACAUCGAGGGCAUUAAGCGGUUUUGCUGAUGACGGAAAUAUCGGCUAUGAUGGAAAAUUAAUUUGUGAUGUUGGUUAUUUAGAUUAAUUACUAAAAGUUGUAAUGCUUAAAAAAUACUUUCCUUGUAUUAUUUGGAAUUAUAAGCUUUAAAAUAACACUCGUAACAUUGUGUUAACCAUGUAUGACACUAAUAUAGAUCAUAUGUGAGCAAAAAUGUGUUUUUAGGUCUUA